GGAUAUACUUGGGGGUUGGCAAUUAGGGGGCAGAAAUAAGGAGGUGUUUGUAGCAUACUGGAGAAGAUGUGGACCUAAGCAGGGUAAUGGGGCCAAGAAAACGGAAGAGCACAUGUCUGAACUCC